rnacentral:rRNA from 1 species
AUUGAACGCUGGCGGCAGGCCUAACACAUGCAAGUCGAACGGUAACAGGGAUCAGCUUGCUGAUUCGCUGACGAGUGGCGGGCGGGUGAGUAAUGUCUGGGAAACUGCCUGAUGGAGGGGGAUAACUACUGGAAACGGUAGCUAAUACCGCAUAACGUCGCAAGAACAAAGAGGGGGACCUUCGGGCCUCUUGCCAUCGGGUGUGUCCAGAUGGGAUUAGCUAGUAGGUGGGGUAACGGCUCACCUAGGCGACGAUCCCUAGCUGGUCUGAGAGGAUGACCAGCCACACUGGAACUGAGACACGGUCCAGACUCCUACGGGAGGCAGCAGUGGGGAAUAUUGCACAAUGGGCGCAAGCCUGAUGCAGCCAUGCCGCGUGUAUGAAGAAGGCCUUCGGGUUGUAAAGUACUUUCAGCGGGGAGGAAGGGAGUAAAGUUAAUACCUUUGCUCAUUGACGUUACCCGCAGAAGAAGCACCGGCUAACUCCGUG